UUGAAGGCUGUCGUCCUUUGUGACAGACGCGUGGGGUGCUAAUACCUUCCUCGUGUGUAAAAACAACUCUCGAAUCUUUCACGAUUAAAGUUCGUAGACCACACGUUUUGGUUUUCUCGACGUUUUCCCCAAAUAAACGUUGGUGGUGACUCUGCGCAUUUUCUUUCCUUGGAAGACGCACCCGUGAGUCUCGCAUCGCCCUCC
rnacentral:lncRNA from 1 species